UACGGAGGGAGCUAGCGUUGUUCGGAAUUACUGGGCGUAAAGCGCGCGUAGGCGGCUUUGUAAGUUAGAGGUGAAAGCCCGGGGCUCAACUCCGGAACUGCCUUUAAGACUGCAUCGCUUGAAUCCGGGAGAGGUGAGUGGAAUUCCGAGUGUAGAGGUGAAAUUCGUAGAUAUUCGGCGGAACACCAGUGGCGAAGGCGACUCACUGGCCCGAUACUGACGCUGAGGCGCGAAGCGUGGGAGCAAACAGG
rnacentral:rRNA from 1 species